AACGAACGCUGGCGGCAGGCUUAACACAUGCAAGUCGAACGAACUGAGUCCUUCGGGACUCUAUGUUAGUGGCGCACGGGUGAGUAACGCGUGGGAACGUACCCUUUAGUACGGAAUAACCCAGGGAAACUUGGGCUAAUACCGUAUGACUCCUUCGGGAGAAAGAUUUAUCGCUAAAGGAUCGGCCCGCGUCAGAUUAGGUAGUUGGUGAGGUAAUGGCUCACCAAGCCGACGAUCUGUAGCGGUCUGAGAGGA
rnacentral:rRNA from 1 species